GCUGCAGAGCGCAUGCGCUGGAGCCCGUGCCGCGUGGGGGGGGGGGUGGAAUGGAAACCCACCCUCUUCCCAUCCCCCCACCCAGGAUCCUUUCCCGCCACGGUGAUACAGAGCGAGAGAGCCCGUGCAGCGGUCCCCAAAAAGGCAUUUUAAUGGAUACUGUCAUGAAGCGCUAAGGAGGAGAAGCAGCCCAAGGUGAAAUAUGAUGUCUGGGACUUGCUUUCAAAUACACCAGCAAAAAAAA